AAAUUAUUUAAUUUUCUAGACUUCUCACUUCUCUUUCUUUCUUUUUUUUUUAGACUAGUCUCACUCUGUUGCCCAGGCUGGAGUGCAGUGGCGCGAUCUCAGCUUACUUCAGCCUCCGCCUCCCGGUUUCAAGUGAAUUCUCCAGCCUCAACUUCACAAGUAGCUGGGAUUACAGGGCAUUCAAGCAGCCCUGAGGAGAGGUCCACAUGGUGAGCCACUGAGGGCCUUGCCAAGAGCCAGCACCAACGGUCCAGGUUUGGAGUGUACCACCUUGGAAGUGAAUCUUCCAGUCCAGUCAAGCCUUCAGAUGACUUCAGAACCGUCCAUGUAAGCCACUCUUGGAUUCCUGACCCACAGAAACUGUUGGAGGUAAUAAAUUUUAUUGUUGUUUUAAGAAGCUAUGUUUUGAGGUAAUUUGUUACACAGCAC
rnacentral:lncRNA from 1 species